GGGGGGGGCAAGCGUUGUUCGGAAUUACUGGGCGUAAAGGGCCAGUAGGCGGCCAACUAAGUCGGACGUGAAAUCCCCAGGCUCAACCUGGGAACUGCGUCCGAUACUGGAUGGCUUGAAUUCGGGAGAGGGAUGCAGAAUUCCAGGUGUAGCGGUGAAAUGCGUAGAUAUCUGGAGGAAUACCGGUGGCGAAGGCGGCAUCCUGGACCGACAUUGACGCUGAACGGCGAAAGCUAGGGGAGCAAACGGGAUUAGAUACCCCGGUAGUCCUAGCCCUAAACGAUGAAUGCUUGGUGUAACGGGUAUCGAUCCCUGUUGUGCCGAAGCUAACGCAUUAAGCAUUCCGCCUGGGGAGUACGGUCGCNAGGCUG
rnacentral:rRNA from 1 species